UACGGAGGGUGCGAGCGUUGUCCGGAAUUACUGGGCGUAAAGGGCUCGUAGGUGGCCAACUAAGUCAGACGUGAAAUCCCUCGGCUUAACCGGGGAACUGCGUCUGAUACUGGAUGGCUUGAGUUCGGGAGAGGGAUGCGGAAUUCCAGGUGUAGCGGUGAAAUGCGUAGAUAUCUGGAGGAACACCGGUGGCGAAGGCGGCAUCCUGGACCGAUACUGACGCUGAGGAGCGAAAGCCGGGGAGCAAACGGG
rnacentral:rRNA from 1 species